rnacentral:misc_RNA from 1 species
UCUUCUUCUUCUUCUUCGUCUUCUAGGGUCUUGAAUAGCAUCAGCCACUUCUCAUGUUUAACAACACCCAGACUCCAAAAAUCAAGUUUAUUUAAUCCUUCAAAUGUUUCUCUUCGCCUGUCAGCACCAUUUUUUCGUGGAGAUAUCUCUUGCAAAUCUUCUCUCAAAGACAGUGCUUCCUUUAUUCCUAAGAUGGCUACCCGUGAUUUUGAGCUUUCAAAUUUGACAGCUUUGUCGCCUUUGGACGGACGGUAUUGGGGUAAAGUGCAGGACUUGUCCCCUCAUUUGAGUGAAUACGGGCUA